CGGGUGCGUAACGCGUAUAGAACCUACCUUUUACAGAGGAAUAGCCUUUAGAAAUGAAGAUUAAUGCCUCAUAGUAUUGUAGACUGGCAUCAGUUUAUAAUUAAAGAUUUAUCGGUAAAAGAUGGCUAUGCGUCCUAUUAGUUAGUUGGUAAGGUAACGGCUUACCAAGACAGCGAUAGGUAGGGGUCCUGAGAGGGAGAUCCCCCACACUGGUACUGAGACACGGACCAGACUCCUACGGGAGGCAGCAGUGAGGAAUAUUGGACAAUGGAGGAGACUCUGAUCCAGCCAUGCCGCGUGUAGGAAGAAUGCCCUAUGGGUUGUAAACUACUUUUAUACAGGAAGAAACACUGGUAUGUAUACCAGCUUGACGGUACUGUAAGAAUAAGGACCGG
rnacentral:rRNA from 1 species